GAGUUUGAUCGUGGCUCAGAGUGAACGCUGGCGGUAGGCCUAACACAUGCAAGUCGAACGGUAACAGGUCUUUCGGGAUGCUGACGAGUGGCGGACGGGUGAGGAAUACAUCGGAAUCUGCUCAGUCGUGGGGGAUAACGCAUGGAAACGUGCGCUAAUACCGCAUACGACCUUCGGGUGAAAGCAGGGGAAUCUUUAGGGAUCCUUGCGCGAUUGAAUGAGCCGAUGUCGGAUUAGCUAGUUGGUAGGGUAAAAGCCUACCAAGGCGACGAUCCGUAGCUGGUCUGAGAGGAUGAUCAGCCACACUGGGACUGAGACACGGCCCAGACUCCUGCGGGAGGCAGCAGUGGGGAAUAUUGGACAAUGGGGGCAACCCUGAUCCAGCCAUACCGCGUGGGUGAAGAAGGCCUUCUGGGUUGUAAAGCCCUUUUGUUGGGGAAGAAAAACAACGGGUUAAUACCCCGUUGGUAUGACGGUACCCAAAGAAUAAGCACCGGCUAACUUCGUGCCAGCAGCCGCGGUAAUACGAAGGGUGCAAGCGUUACUCGGAAUUACUGGGCGUAAAGGGUGCGUAGGUGGUUGCGCCAGUCUGUCGUGAAAGCCCUGGGCUUAACCUGGGAAUGGCGAUGGAAACUGUGCAACUAGAGUGUGACAGAGGGUGGUGGAAUUCCUGGUGUAGCAGUGAAAUGCGCAGAGAUCAGGAGGAACAUUCGUGACGAAGGCGGCCACCUGGGUCAACACUGACACUGAGGCACGAAAGCGUGGGGAGCAAACAGGAUUAGAUACCCUGGUAGUCCACGCCCUAAACGAUGCGAACUGGAUGUUGGGUCCAACUUGGGAUUCAGUAUCGAAGCUAACGCGUUAAGUUCGCCGCCUGGGGAGUACGGUCGCAAGACUGAAACUCAAAGGAAUUGACGGGGGCCCGCACAAGCGGCGGAGUAUGUGGUUUAAUUCGAUGCAACGCGCAGAACCUUACCUGGCCUUGACAUGCACGGAACCUUU
rnacentral:rRNA from 1 species